rnacentral:rRNA from 1 species
AGUGAACGCUGGCGGUAGGCCUAACACAUGCAAGUCGAACGGCAGCACAGUAAGAGCUUGCUUUUACGGGUGGCGAGUGGCGGACGGGUGAGUAAUACACCGUUAUCUACUUUUUCGUGGGGGAUAUCGCAGGGAAACUUACGCUAAUACCGCAUACGACCUAUGGGUGAACGCAGGCGAUCUUCGGUCCUUGUGCGAUUGAUGCUGCCGAUGUCGGAUUAGUUAGUUGGCGGGGUUAAGGCCUACCAUGGCGACGAUCCGUAGCUGGUCUGCGUGGACGAUCAGCCACACUGGAACUGAGACACGGUCCAGACUCCUACAGGGGGCAGCAGUGGGGAAUAUUGGACGAUGGGCGCAAGCCUGAUCCAGCCAUACCGCGUAGGUGAAGAAGGCCUUCGGGUUGUAAAGCCCUUUUGUUGGGAAAGAAAAGCAGCAGGUUAAUACCCCGCUGUUCUGACGGUACCCAAAGAAUAAGCACCGGCUAACUUCGUG